rnacentral:misc_RNA from 1 species
ACCAGUUAAAAGGCGACCUCUAUUGAAUGAACUAUAGAUCGCCUUCUAACCACUGAAUUCUGUUCUUCAAUCAUUCAAUUAUCGGGUCAAUCACUGCCUUACUACGUACCAAAGCAUUCAAGUACCAAAUACAGUAAGCCAGGCAUGCUAGCGGGAAACUCAUCAACGUCAUUUGCCCAAUCAUGGCCUAUUAUGGAGCCAACUGUUUUAAGUCUACUUCGGCAGCAAAAUGUAUCUCAUGACCAGUGGCACGAUCUUUUUUUGCAUGUUCAUAAAGUUUGUUUGUGGGAUCCUAAUGGGGCUCAAUCCUUAAAGUCUAAACUUGAGGAAGAGAUCUCGAAGUUUAUUAGUCAAGCUCAGCAAAGGGUUGUUCAACACUCAGAGGACUCUGCUCUAUUGAAAGCCUAUAUAAGCGAAUGGACUAAAUUUUUUGAGCAAUGUGUAUAUUUACCUCAGCCGUUUAAUCAACUAGAAGUUAGCUUAUCGGGCAAAUCUGGAUCCAGCACUGCUCAUCAUACAUCUCGAAAAGCGCAAGAAGAUAGUAUUGUUAAAAAACUUAUGUUGGAUACAUGGAAUAAGACAAUUUUUAAUGAUAUUAAGGAACGUUUGCAGAAUAGUGCCAUGAAACUAGUGCAUUCAGAAAGAAAUGGAGAAGCUUUUGAUAGUCAAUUAGUAAUUGGGGUUAGAGAAUCUUACGUUAAUUUGUGUAGUGAAGCGGAAGAUAAGUUAAAAAUAUAUAGAGAACACUUCGAAAGGGCUUACAUAGAAGCAACAGAAGCGUUUUACUCAAACAAAGCACCAGCUUAUUUGGACGAAAAUGGUGUUCAGAACUACAUGAUUUAUGCGGAAGAAAAAUUGAAGGAGGAAGAACAACGCGGUAAUCGCUAUUUAGAAACCAGACAAGAAAGUAUGUCCAUGCAAACUUUACGAGAUACCUGCGUUGAUAUCUUAGUGAAAAAAUUUCGAGAGCAAAUACUUGUGGAAUGUCCUAAUAUGAUUAAACAAAACGAAACUAAGAAGUUGGAAUUGAUGUUUAAAUUAAUGGACAGGGUAGGCACCGAUGGUGUAAAUCCCAUGCUUGAAAGCCUUGAAAAUCACAUCUUCGAUGCUGGCAUUGCCGAUAUGAUGGCAGCAGCUAAAACAAUCACAACUGAUUCAGAAAAAUAUGUUGAACGACUUCUUGAUCUCUUUAAUAGAUUUUCAUUACUAGUAAAAGAGGCCUUCAAUGAUGAUGCACGAUUUAUGACAUCUCGGGAUAAAGCUUACAGACGCGUUGUGAAUGAUUUGUCUAUAUUCUGCCUUGAAUUACCAGUCAAAUCUUCGGGUGCAAAUGUUAGAUGCCAACCAGAAUCUAAAUGCCCUGAAUUAUUAGCCAAUUAUUGCGAUAUGCUAUUAAGGAAAACUAAUAUUAGUAAAAGAUUAACCAGCGACGACAUUGAUGCGAAAUUAGCAUCUGUUAUUCUGGUAUUAAAAUAUGUAUCAAACAAAGAUGUAUUUAUGAAAUAUCACAAAGCACACUUGACGCGGAGACUUAUUUUAGGCACAUCAGCGGAUGAUGAUAAGGAGGAGAGAAUGGUCGAACAAUUGAGAGAAGUUGGUAUGCCAGCGGACUAUGUUAACAAACUGCAGAGGAUGUUCCAAGAUAUAAAGGUUAGCGACGAUCUUAAUCAUAGGUUUAAAUUAGACGCCAGGAAUAACAAUGAACCAACGGCGGAAUCUCUAAAUAUCAAAAUCUUGAAUGACGGAGCCUGGUCUCGAGCUAGUGACAAGGUUACCGUGAGCUUACCGGUUGAAUUAGAAGAUUAUAUACCUAAGGUGGAAGCUUUUUACAAAAGAAUGCAUACUGGAAGGAAAUUGCAGUGGCAGCAUCUAUACUCUAAUGGAACCUUAACCCUUACGAACGAAGUUGGUAAAGUUGAAUUAGAAGUAACAACAUUUCAAAUGGCUGUUUUACUUUCUUGGAAUCAACGACCAAAAGAUAGGAUAAGUUAUGAAGCACUUCGUUUAUCAACACAAUUACCAGACUCAGAAUUACGCAGAACUGUUUGGUCUUUGAUUGCUUUUCCUAAAAUGAAAAAGCAGGUGUUAUUAUGCGAACCUGAGAUUAAAAAACAUCAAGAAAUUGAUGAUUCAACACUAUUUUGGGUCAACCAACAAUUCUGUAUAGUAACCAAAGGUAAUAAAGUACUGCAUAAAGGUAAGGUCAACUUGAUUGGACGGCUGCAGCUAUCGACUGAAAAAUCAAAGAACGAAGAUAAUGAAGGCAUUGUUCGAUUGAGAGAAUUAAGAGUUCAAGAAGCAAUCGUUAAAAUUAUGAAAAUGCGAAAAACUGUAACCAAUGCGGCUUUGCAAACCGAAUUAGUAGAUAUCCUCCGAAACAUGUUUCAGCCUUCGAGAAAGAUGAUUAAGGAAAUGAUUGAAUGGCUGAUAGAGCAUAAAUAUAUGAUGCGUGACGAAAAUGAUAUUAACUCCUUUGUUUAUCUGGCUUAAACCAACCUUGGCAAAAUGAUAAAAUAUUGCGUUUUGUACUGUAUCAUUGUUGCGCUUCAUUUUUACUAUGCAGUUUGAGCGUUUCUAAUAAAUUUUUGUUCUGCUCAAAAUUUUAAUUGAAUCGGAAUAGUAAAGAAACAAAGCAUUUAAAAGUAACCACGUAGCAUUUUAAUUUUUAUUUAAUCUCUACCGAAAGUGUGGGUUAUCUCUGGCCUAUCAAUUCUAUAAAGAUACUUUGGAAUAGAGAAAUAACAUCUGUAAACAACUUCGUCCGGCGUAACAUCAUAGUGAUAAUGUCCGGCAGUGUCCUCAGCUAGCCCAUGAAAGUGCUCAACCCGAAUAUCCAUAUCCGGAUCAUCUGAAAUCAACCAUCCUACAGCAGUAAAAGGUGCUGGAAUUUCAUAAAAGUCAAGCCAAUUAUUAACGUCCUCAUUUGACUCAAUGGGCUCCUUGCAAAAAUCUGGCAUGCAGUGUAUUUUAACUUUUCCUUUUUCUACAUUAAAUGUACCGCACAUUCCCACAAUUUUGUCUUUGUAUUCUUCUUUGAGAGUCUUUCGAACAGAAGACAUUAUAUUUUCUUCUGAAAUUCUUUUGGAAACGACAAGUUCGAUAACCUUUCCUGGCUUUCCAUCACAGAAUCCUAAAUUACCAAGUAGACCGAAUUCGGCGCAUGGGGCCUUUUGAACUUUAACUUUUCCAUUUAUCGAUGUACCAAGUUUAGUAUUAAGCUUCUCACUGCCGUUAAAUUUUACAUCGCAAAUCAUUUCAGCAUUCAUUCCAAGUUUAUGAAAAGGUCCGGCGCCAGCUCCAAACACGUAGGCAUCUUGUAGUUCGACAAGUUUACACAGUUCCUUUAUUUCGUACGUGUGCUCUUUCAUAACUUUUGGCAUCAGAUAAGGAACUCCUCCAACAUCAGCAAUACGUACAUUUCCGCACAAUCCUUCUGAAAUAAGAUUGAACGGGGCGUUAGUCAAGUUGGGACAGUCGACAACAGAUGCUGUAACAUUUUGAAAAUGAGCUUUCAUAGAUUUUUCUAAAACUGCGGCCAAAUCCGAAAGCUCCGGACAAUACAAAGAGAGUUUCUCUGUCUUUAGGUUCGAUGUCAUUGUUCAACUUUGAAAGAUGAAAAGGAACAAUAAAUUGAAUUCUCUUUUAUAAGUUUAUAAAACGCCCAGUACGAUUAUAGUUGUCUGCUAGUCAGUAAAAGCGCCACCUCUUGUCUCAAAUUUCAUCACCUCUUAGACUGUCAUCUACUUCUUAAAAUUUAGAUAGAUGUUAGCAUUAAAAGAGAGCAUCCUAAAUAAUUUAUACUUUCCAAGGUUGAUUCCCAAGUAUCGAGUAGUUUAUGAAAAAAAGAACUCUUAAACAACAAAUAAGACGAAAGCUCUAAAUUAAAAAAUUAUCCUGUGUAUGGAAAAGAAGAAGAAGAAAAGGGAAAGUAAGAAAAUUUAUAGAAUUUAUAUACUUUAAACGACAUUAUUGAUAACAAUAAGACGAUAAGAAGAGAGGUAAAGAUAUAAAGGAACAAUUAAUAGUGAACAAUUUUAGAAAAUAAUCUUAUAAAGGUCAUUUGUCUACUUUUUCAUUAAAUUUUCCAUUGAAUUUAAGGAUCUUAUGUAAGAUACUGAAAAUAUUACAGAUUCGAAAGUAUGUUCCCCAAUAUCGUAUUCUCUGAUACAAGUAUAAACCUCUUUCAUAUUUUCCAUAGAUGCAAACAAUUGACCUAUUGAUACGUUUGGUGGGACGCUAAAGUAUAGGCGAGCUUGUAAUAAAUCAACGUGAUAUCUCACUGAGUCGGGAACAUGAAUUUGGAGCCACCUAGAUAUUGAUUGUCUAUCAAUUUUCAUUUGCCUAGUACUGUCAAAUGUCAUUGAUAUACGAAUUCUACUUCCGGGGCAAAAGCAUUGGCGAAGAUACGGAGCUGGUCCAACUGCUCUAAGUACUCCUACACAAAAAACUGCCAUUCUAUCGGCCAAAUUCUCAAAUUCUACUGGAUUUUCAGUACUUAAUACAAUAGUAUGGCCCCUUGCUUUCAACAUUCCUAAGAGAUUCAUAAAGAUUUUCUUUGACUGAAAGUCGAUAUUCGUUGAAGGAUCUCUGAUAACUAGUAGUUGUGGAAAGCCGAUAAUUGUUGAAGCGAGGACAAGCCUCUUUUUUGUUGAUUCAGAUACCGUAUCAACUUUCAUAUUCAUCAUUGGUUUUAGAGCGCAGAGAUUUGAUAUAUUUCUUACAUGUGAUUUAGCAGCUUUCUUCGAUAUUCCACGAAGCCUGGCAACAAAAUUUAAAGUUUCUGCAACAGUUAACUCUCCAUCUGGAAUUAUAUUAUUGUCAAAAUAGCUUUUCUGCAUGUUCUUUCUAAAGUAAACAACACCUUUACUAGGUUUUAUUGAACCAGCUAUUAUUCUUAAAAAAGUUGUUUUUCCACUAUUUUUCAAUCCUGUUAAGCACAUUAGCUCCCCUCUUUUAAUACUGAGAUAAACAUUUUCAAGUUUAAUUUCUCUAUUGAUUUUACUUAACGAUUGUAUGUCGUAUUUUGUUAUAUUUUGAGCAACAACAUCAUAGUCCGUUUGCUCGAAUUUUGGACACAGUAUUAUACUUUUUCUCUCUUUAAUUGCACUUGCAUGCAAUGAUAGAUCUUCGCUUUUAAGUCUACUUAACUUCAUUCUUUUUUCUAAUAUUGUUUGUAAAACAGGUCGAUGACUUUGUAAAAGAAUUAGUAGCAUCAUCGCAAUGAAAGUUUGUAUCAUAAAGAUUAUGCAAAAUCUUCCAAGACCAGGUUUUGCAAAUGAUAAUAUAUUGUCAGCAUAUCUUACGCAAUGACUACCUCGACAUUCCUGACAGCAAGCUAAUGUCUGUCUAAUUCGCAAUGGUUCAUUUUUACAUUGUUCCCUACGUAUUAGCCUUUCGUUG